rnacentral:lncRNA from 1 species
GUCUGUGUGUCUCACGUUCCUCCUCAUCUGCAGAUUCCAGGAAUAGAGAAGUAUCUGCCUUUUACUUUGCAUGGUUGUGAGAGUAAAUGAGGUCUUCAUCUAGGACACCUGGCGUGUUUGAAGUUUUCUCUAACUGUAGGAGGUACACGACAACCAAAUCAUCCUUCCGUUUCAAGGAGAAGAUUCUACAGACAAGUGUGUGUUAGAGCAGAAGAACAUGGGUCCAGCCUUAGAAGACCCGACUGCAAUCCUGGUUCUAUACUUCAUCCACUUUGCGAUCUUUGGCUAGAACUUUCAUGUUCUGGAAAGAGGAAGACUUCAGCAUAAGGCCCUAACCUUUGCCAAAGAAAUGGGAACCUAAUCAGCCACUAGAUCUAACUACCGCCUUUCAGGAAAUUAAUCUGGAGGAACAGGUUAAAUGAUGCUACAGCAAAAUCUAAAAUUUGAGAAAUGUACUGGGCAAAUGACUUGAUUUUUUUCACAAAUGAAUAGCUGAGGAAAAGGGGACCCUAAAUAUGAGAGAUUUAAGAGCCUAACCAAAUGUAAUGUGAGGAUUAUUUUUUAUUUCAAUUUGAACAAACCAACUGUAAAAUACACU